GGGAGGAGCUUGCUCCACCCUGACGACGAGUGGCGAACGGGUGAGUAAUACAUCGGAACGUGUCCGCUCGUGGGGGACAACCAGCCGAAAGGUUGGCUAAUACCGCAUGAGUUCUACGGAAGAAAGAGGGGGACCCGCAAGGGCCUCUCGCGAGCGGAGCGGCCGAUGACUGAUUAGCCAGUUGGUGAGGUAACGGCUCACCAAAGCAACGAUCAGUAGCUGGUCUGAGAGGACGACCAGCCACACUGGGACUGAGACACGGCCCAGACUCCUACGGGAGGCAGCAGUGGGGAAUUUUGGACAAUGGGCGCAAGCCUGAUCCAGCUAUUCCGCGUGUGGGAUGAAGGCCCUCGGGUUGUAAACCACUUUUGUAGAGAACGAAAAGACAUCUUCGAAUAAAGGAUGUUGCUGACGGUACUCUAAGAAUAAGCACCGGCUAACUACGUGCCAGCAGCCGCGGUAAUACGUAGGGUGCGAGCGUUAAUCGGAAUUACUGGGCGUAAAGGGUGCGCAGGCGGUUGAGUAAGACAGAUGUGAAAUCCCCGAGCUUAACUCGGGAAUGGCAUAUGUGACUGCUCGACUAGAGUGUGUCAGAGGGAGGUGGAAUUCCACGUGUAGCAGUGAAAUGCGUAGAUAUGUGGA
rnacentral:rRNA from 1 species